UACGAUCGUGCGACGCCGCACAGUCGCAGUAAACAACUACGCGUUCUGGUAGGUGGCGUUCAUCAUCAUUUUUGGAAUUCCACAAGGAAGAAAAAAAUGAUAGCGUCGAAUUGACAACUGUACAGAGGUAGAUUGAUAAAAGAAAGAAUAUCGUUGGAAAAAAAAAAUUUGAUUUGGAGCAGCCGCGACGAUAGACGAAUUGUUCAGAUCGAAGUGUCACGGGAGACAUUUUGCAGGCCGCUGCGUGUACAAACGAUUUUGCUGGAAAAUCUAAAAAAUGGAGGAGGAAUAUUCAAAGCGUGACAAAUUAAUUUUCGAAAAUUGAUAAUGUCAUUUAAAUCAUUCUUUGGAGAAGAUUAUUACCGUGUAGAAUUUCCAGACUCUCAAUGAAAAGUAACGAUACAACUGCUCAAUAUUUUAUGGAAAAUACCUCGCCGAACGUUCUGGAAAAUAUUCAAAAUGAUGAACGGCUAGUGGUUUUGAAAUUUAGUGAAUAACGAUGUAGUAAUCUCACAGAAUGACUUUUAUAAAUAUCAACUUGGCGCAGUGAAUAUGUUAAUUUUUGAACCUGUUGAAGUGGACAAUCAAUUGGGACUGAAAUAAAGAGAAUUGAAAAGGAA